UACGUAGGUGGCAAGCGUUAUCCGGAUUUACUGGGUGUAAAGGGUGCGCAGGCGGGACUGCAAGUUGGAUGUGAAAAUCCGAAGCUCAACUUCGGACCUGCAUCCAAAACUGUAGUUCUUGAGUGAAGUAGAGGUAGGCGGAAUUCCGAGUGUAGCGGUGAAAUGCGUAGAUAUUCGGAGGAACACCAGUGGCGAAGGCGGCCUACUGGGCUUUAACUGACGCUCAUGCACGAAAGCGUGGGGAGCAAAC
rnacentral:rRNA from 1 species